GGACGAGAGGCUUGCUUCUCUGAUGUUAGCGGCGGACGGGUGAGUAACACGUGGAUAACCUACCUAUAAGACUGGGAUAACUUCGGGAAACCGGAGCUAAUACCGGAUAAUAUUUUGAACCGCAUGGUUCAAAAGUGAAAGACGGUCUUGCUGUCACUUAUAGAUGGAUCCGCGCUGCAUUAGCUAGUUGGUAAGGUAACGGCUUACCAAGGCAACGAUGCAUAGCCGACCUGAGAGGGUGAUCGGCCACACUGGAACUGAGACACGGUCCAGACUCCUACGGGAGGCAGCAGUAGGGAAUCUUCCGCAAUGGGCGAAAGCCUGACGGAGCAACGCCGCGUGAGUGAUGAAGGUCUUCGGAUCGUAAAACUCUGUUAUUAGGGAAGAACAUAUGUGUAAGUAACUGUGCACAUCUUGACGGUACCUAAUCAGAAAGCCACGGCUAACUACGUGCCAGCAGCCGCGGUAAUACGUAGGUGGCAAGCGUUAUCCGGAAUUAUUGGGCGUAAAGCGCGCGUAGGCGGUUUUUUAAGUCUGAUGUGAAAGCCCACGGCUCAACCGUGGAGGGUCAUUGGAAACUGGAAAACUUGAGUGCAGAAGAGGAAAGUGGAAUUCCAUGUGUAGCGGUGAAAUGCGCAGAGAUAUGGAGGAACACCAGUGGCGAAGGCGACUUUCUGGUCUGUAACUGACGCUGAUGUGCGAAAGCGUGGGGAUCAAACAGGAUUAGAUACCCUGGUAGCCCACGCCGUAAACGAUGAGUGCUAAGUGUUAGGGGGUUUCCGCCCCUUAGU
rnacentral:rRNA from 1 species